AUUGAACGCUGGCGGCAGGCCUAACACAUGCAAGUCGAGCGGAUGAAGGGAGCUUGCUCCUGGAUUCAGCGGCGGACGGGUGAGUAAUGCCUAGGAAUCUGCCUUGUAGUGGGGGAUAACGUCCGGAAACGGGCGCUAAUACCGCAUACGUCCUGAGGUAGAAAGUGGGGGAUCUUCGGACCUCACGCUAUCAGAUGAGCCUAGGUCGGAUUAGCUAGUUGGUGGGGUAAAGGCCUACCAAGGCGACGAUCCGUAACUGGUCUGAGAGGAUGAUCAGUCACACUGGAACUGAGACACGGUCCAGACUCCUACGGGAGGCAGCAGUGGGGAAUAUUGGACAAUGGGCGAAAGCCUGAUCCAGCCAUGCCGCGUGUGUGAAGAAGGUCUUCGGAUUGUAAAGCACUUUAAGUUGGGAGGAAGGGCAGUAAGUUAAUACCUUGCUGUUUUGACGUUACCAACAGAAUAAGCACCGGCUAACUUCGUG
rnacentral:rRNA from 1 species